GGGGGUGAUCUGGAUUCGACGCCGGUAUCAAAACCCGAGGUGCAUGUCGAGAGGGUAUGGACUCUCGUUAAUCAAUCUAUGCAACUUAAUAGUUGCCAACGACGAUACGUACGCUUUAGCAGCCUAAGGGCCGCUAACGAUUGCCACCGGGAUGCCUGUAAACCAGUGAUCGCAAUCGUCAUAUAGAACAGGAUCGCCAGCCUAGCGCGUCCGACGCGAAGCGGUUAACCAGUAUCGGACUCGCCUCGAACACCCUGCCCGUCGGGCCGUGAGAGGUUAACUCAAUAGACGUGCUAAACAUGUAGAGCCAAAGGCAGCGGACUGACGGACGGGGGUUCAAUUCCCCCCGCCUCCACCA
rnacentral:tmRNA from 1 species